rnacentral:rRNA from 1 species
AUAAUACCGCAUAAGUCCUUGGGAGAAAGCAGCAAUGCGCUGAGAGAGGAGUCCGCGGCCGAUUAGCUAGUUGGUAGGGUAAAAGCCUACCAAGGCAACGAUCGGUAGCCGGCCUGAGAGGGCACACGGCCACACUGGCACUGAAACACGGGCCAGACUCCUACGGGAGGCAGCAGUGGGGAAUCUUGCACAAUGGGGGAAACCCUGAUGCAGCGACGCCGCGUGAGCGAUGAAGCCCUUCGGGGUGUAAAGCUCUUUUGUCAGGGAAGAAACGGUGGGGACUAAUACUUCCUGCUAAUGACGGUACCUGAAGAAUAAGCACCGGCUAACUACGUGCCAGCAGCCGCGGUAAUACGUAGGGUGCAAGCGUUAAUCGGAAUUACUGGGCGUAAAGCGUGCGCAGGCGGUUGUGCAAGACAGAUGUGAAAUCCCCGGGCUCAACCUGGGAAUUGCAUUUGUGACUGCACGGCUAGAGUGUGUCAGAGGGGGGUAGAAUUCCACGUGUAGCAGUGAAAUGCGUAGAGAUGUGGAGGAAUACCGAUGGCGAAGGCAGCCCCCUGGGAUAACACUGACGCUCAUGCACGAAAGCGUGGGGAGCAAACAGGAUUAGAUACCCUGGUAGUCCACGCCCUAAACGAUGUCUACUAGUUGUCGGGUCUUAAUUGACUUGGUAACGCAGCUAACGCGUGAAGUAGACCGCCUGGGGAGUACGGUCGCAAGAUUAAAACUCAAAGGAAUUGACGGGGACCCGCACAAGCGGUGGAUGAUGUGGAUUAAUUCGAUGCAACGCGAAAAACCUUACCUACCCUUGACAUGUACGGAAGCCUCGAGAGAUUGAGGCGUGCUCGAAAGAGAGCCGUAACACAGGUGCUGCAUGGCUGUCGUCAGCUCGUGUCGUGAGAUGUUGGGGUAAGUCCCGCAACGAG